UACGGGGGGAGCAAGCGUUGUUCGGAUUUACUGGGCGUAAAGGGCGCGUAGGCGGCGUGACAAGUCACUUGUGAAAUCUCCGGGCUUAACUCGGAACGGUCAACUGAUACUGUCGGACUAGAGUGCAGAAGGGGCAACUGGAAUUCUCGGUGUAGCGGUGAAAUGCGUAGAUAUCGAGAGGAACACCUGCGGCGAAGGCGGGUUGCUGGGCUGACACUGACGCUGAGGCGCGAAAGCUAGGGGAGCGAACGGG
rnacentral:rRNA from 1 species